rnacentral:rRNA from 1 species
CACGUAGGGGGCAAGCGUUGUCCGGAUUUAUUGGGCGUAAAGAGCUCGUAGGCGGCUUAGUAAGUCGGGUGUGAAACCUCCAGGCUCAACCUGGAGACGCCACCCGAUACUGCUGUGGCUAGAGUCCGGAAGAGGAGAGUGGAAUUCCUGGUGUAGCGGUGAAAUGCGCAGAUAUCAGGAAGAACACCCGUGGCGAAGGCGGCUCUCUGGGACGGUACUGACGCUGAGACGCGAAAGCGUGGGGAGCGAACAGG